CAAGAGCAACACGGAAGAUUAUCACCAUGCCUCGUGACAUGCAAAAAGCGAAGAUUGUCUAUACCAAUUCAUGCAAGAGCUGUCAUCCAUCUGACGGACAAGACAUGAUGAAGAACAUCAAAUUCCAAGGAUCUUGUCCUCAGCAACUUCCGGGAACCACGCUCUUCCCAUCCGGUCUUCGCGUUCAGGAGACUACUUCAAGGGAGAUAACCAAAGCGUAAUAACCUCUUGAACAACAUGCCUGUCAAGCAGCCAUUUUCCUUGUGAAAUAUGAUAAAAUAAUACCAAAAA